rnacentral:rRNA from 1 species
AUACGUAGGUGACAAGCGUUAUCCGGAUUUACUGGGCGUAAAGGGCGUGUAGGCGGUCUUGCAAGUCAGAAGUGAAAUUCCUGAGCUCAACUCGGGCGCUGCUUCUGAAACUGCAGGACUUGAGUGCUGGAGGGGAUAGCGGAAUUCCUAGUGGAGCGGUAAAAUGGGCAGAUAUUAGGAGGAACACCGGUGGCGAGGGCGUCUAGCUGUAUGUUAACUGAGGCUGUGGCGCAAACGCGUGGGGAACAAACAGGAUUAGAUUCCCUGGUAUUCCACGCUGUAAACGAUGAAUCCUAGGUGUCGGGUUUCUAUAGAGAUUCGGUGCCGCAGCAAACGCAAUAAGUAUUCCACCUUGGGAGUACGUUCGCAAGAAUGAAACUCAAAGGAAUUGACGUGG